UACGAAGGGGGCGAGCGUUGUUCGGAUUCACUGGGCGUAAAGGGUGCGUAGGUGGUGAGGCAAGUCGGAUGUGAAAUCUCCGAGCUCAACUCGGAAAUGGCAUUGGAAACUACCUUGCUCGAGGGUUGGAGGGGGGACUGGAAUGCUUGGUGUAGCAGUGAAAUGCGUAGAUAUCAAGCGGAACACCAGUGGCGAAGGCGAGUCCCUGGACAACUCCUGACACUGAGGCACGAAAGCUAGGGGAGCAAACAGG
rnacentral:rRNA from 1 species